rnacentral:lncRNA from 1 species
CACCACACCUGGCCUGCCUCACAGAAUCUCGAACCUAGUUUUUAAAAUUCUGUUUCUUUCCUCCUUCCCUUCCAGUGUCCACCAUAUCCUAGCCAGUGUGCCAGAUACUAGGAAACCAAUACUGAAAAAAGAGUCAGAUGCUAUUUUUGCUGAACUUAGCCUUAGUAUUGUAUAGUGAUUGUGCUUCCUACUAGGCAGGGACCGCGCCUAAUUUGUGGAUAUUACUAAUAUCAUACAGGGCCCAUACGCAGUAAAUGUUCAAUAUCUGUCAUUUUCUGAAACCUAAGAUGUGUCAGGCGGCUUGACCUGUAUUAUUUCUAGUUCUUUGAACAAUCCCGAACAGUCGAUAUUAUUGUUCCCAAUAUGAGCUAUGGAGCCAGUUUGCCAAAUCGGCCCCUGACUAACUGUGAGACUUUGGACAAGUUGUUAAACCUUCCUGUGUUUCAACCUUCUUAUCUGAAGACACACAGUUAUAGUACAGCAUUGUGAAGUUAAAUGAACUAUACUGUGGCUCAUGAUAACAAUCAGUAAGUGUUAGUCAUUAUAAUGAUCAUUAAUUGUGGCUUUUAGCAUAGAUGAAGACUGGCAGCGUACCCAGAUCAUACAGCUGGUAAAGGGCUAAGUAAAAAUUUGAAGCCAAAUUGGAUUCCAAGCCUCUGCCCUUUACACUAAAUACACUGUUUGUUAUGUGUGUGUGUGUGUGUAUGUAUAUAUGUGUAAUUCCAUAUUACUCAUGCAGUAUGUUCCACACAACAAGUAAGUACUAUGCAAAUGAACUUUCAGGUUCCAAGCUAUUUUCAAAUUGGCAACAGGCAGGUAAGAAAAUAAGACAUUCUUGUUUUCACCAGUAGAUGGCAGAAGGAAGAAAAGACCACUCCGGAGAGGGAAGGAGUUUUAAUUUGGAGCCGAGUGAUUCACAGUGGGCUGUGGCUGAGGCACAGGGGCAGAUGAGGCAGACUCCUUGUAUGACUACAGUGGAGGACAGUCCCACUGGAACUAGGGGUCAGGGGUCAGGGUGGGGAGGAGAACUACCUACAGGUAUGUGAAGGGUGUCAGCCUUCAAGAAGAUCUGCUAGGUUGACCCAGAGGAUGGGGACUGGGAGCCCCGAAGUAAAGGCAAGUUCAGAUGCACUUAGAAAAAAAGGUCGCGUUCCUCUGUCGUCUCUACUGCGCGGUCCCUGGCUGUGGACCCUCCUCGUCAACUUCCAAACACUUGGUUCUUUUCCAAAGCCUGCCUUUCCCUCUGGGAUGUUGAUGAAGCCACUUGCUUUGUUUGCUCCUUUCCCCACCCCCUACCCCAGUCUGUAAGUCAGGAAUACUCUUUCCCCCGCCUAUCCCAAUACACGUUGUUUGUGAGCCACCGACCCCCCUCACUGCUUCCCUCUCUCCUCACUGCGUAUCCAUCCAGUAGGCUUGGUCCACAGCCCGUGCUCCUGUAUCAAAUAAGCUUGGUGCUGGGUAACCUGUGAGCUGCUUGUUCGUUCAUUUUAUCCUAGAGACAUGUCCUUCAGCCCAAAGUGAUGGGGAGUUGUCCUUCUGGGUCCAAAAGAGUAGUAGCAGCAAUCAAGCAUGGUGGUCAUUUAUACUGGGCCAGCUCUCACUGAUGUGAUGCUGGCUCUUGUCCUCACACAUUCUUUUGGGGGAGGAGUCCACUGGUAACUCCUGAUAUCUUAGAAACUCUCUUACCCAAGCUAUUAAAUCCAGUGCCAACUUAAAACCAACAUCCCUGUCGCGAUUUCUGGGUGGGUCAAGAGUGGGGACUAUCCAAAGAUUUCUUAUUUGACAUACGUCUAUUUGUACAUUUGUAAUGGUUGUUGGUUUGGUUUUAAAUAAGUGAUUCUUGGACAGGGCAUGGUGGCUCAUGCCUAUAAUCCCAGCACUUUGGGAGGCCAAGGUGGGAGGAUUGCUUGAGGCCAGGAGUUUGAGACCAGCCUGGGUAACACAGCAGAACCCCAUCUCUACAAAAAUAAUAAAAAAUUAGCUGGGCAUGGCGGACCCCGCCUAUGGUCCUAGCUACUUGGGAGGCUGAGACAAGACAAUCAUUUGAGUCUUGGAGGAUGAGAUUGCAGUAAGCUAUGAUUGUGCUGCUGCGUUCUAGCCUGGGUGACAGGGUAAGACCCUGUCUCUAAAAGGUAAAUAGUAAAUAAGUGAUUCUUUACAAUAGGGCUGAGGAGAGCCUCCUGUGUGUUAGGAGUUUGCCAGGUGACUGGCAUAUAUUAUUUCUUUUACUGGAGGUCAUGAGUCAUUUCUCGAGGAAACUGCAGAUCAGAAAAGCUUGUUUGUCAUAUUUUAAAACUGCAGCCUAGUCUUUUUUUUUUUUUUUUUUUUUGAGACAGAGUUUUGCUCUUGUUGCCCAGGCUGGAGUGCAAUGACGUGAUCUUGGCUCACCGCAACCUCUGCCUCCCAGGAUCAAGGGAUUCUCCUGCCUUAGCCUCCCAAGUAGCUGGGAUUACAGGCAUGCACCACCAUGCCCGGCUAAUUUUGUAUUUUUAGUAGACACGGGUUUUCUCCAUGUUGGUCAGGCUGGUCUCAAACUCCCGACCUCAGGCGAUCCGCCUGCCUUGGCCUCCCAAAGUGCUGGGAUUACAGGCGUGAGCCACCACACCCGGCGCAGCGUAGUUAUUCUUUAUUCUGUCUUCCGUGAUUUCUUAAAUUCAUCCAAGGGUAUUCAGGAAUUUUGCAGGGUGAGCCUAUGCUGACAAAAUGAAAUUGAGCACCAUAGUUUUGUGUUUUUUACUAAAUCUCCAGAAAAUAAAAGUGACCUUUGGACUGCCAGAAGAUUCACGUGAAACCUCACAUAAAAUCAGCAUGUGAAGACAGAGAGGAUGUUGGUGAUCACCAGAAUCUGUUCAUUUUUCCUUUGAAGAUACUUAAAGGAAGUAUGUGUAUGUUUACAGAUGCUUUGUAGUUUUAAAUUUAUGCUGGACAUUGCAUAAAAUGGAAAAUAGAGGUUAAAGUAAUAUUUGCUCCCAACAAAGGACCAUCCUACAGGAAGCUGAAGAUGGAGUCUUGCUGUGUUGACCAUGC